AAAUAAAUAACUAAAAUAAGUGUGUUAUUUACACUAACAAAAUGACUUUAAUGUCUUUAUUUA
rnacentral:tRNA from 1 species